UUUCGCAAUGCCCGAAAGGGUGACGAAGCGACGCCGCGUGCGGGAAGAAGGCCUUCGGGUUGUAAACCGCUGUCGGGAGUUAAGAAAUGUAAGGAUGUUAAUAGCAUCUUUACUUGACUAAGGCUCCGGAGGAAGCCACGGCUAACUCUGUGCCAGCAGCCGCGGUAAUACAGAGGCGGCAAGCGUUGUUCGGAAUUAUUGGGCGUAAAGAGCACGUAGGCGGUUCUGCAAGUCGGCUGUGAAAGCCUUCCGCUCAACGGAAGAACAGCAGUUGAUACUACAGGACUCGAGUGCGGGAGGGGAGAGUGGAACUUCUGGUGGAGCGGUGAAAUGCGUAGAUAUCAGGAGGAACGCCGGUGGCGAAAGCGACUCUCUGGGCCGCUCCUGACACUGAGGUGCGAGAGCUAGGGGAGCAAACAGGAUUAGAUACCCUGGUAGUCCUAGCUGUAAACGAUGGGCACUAAGUAGAGGGGUUUUA
rnacentral:rRNA from 1 species